GCUUAUCACUGUUCCAGAUUGAGUAUACCCGAUCUCGUCUGAUCUCGGAAGUCAAGCAAUCUCGGGCUUGGUUAGUACUUGGAUGGGUGACCGCUUGGGAAUACCAAGUGUGAUAAGCA
rfam:Ciona savignyi cont_37980, whole genome shotgun sequence.